GGACGCUCUUCGGGAAGCGAGCGUACACAGGUGCUGCAUGGCUGUCGUCAGCUCGUGUCGUGAGAUGUUGGGUUAAGUCCCGCAACGAGCGCAACCCUUGUGUUUAGUUGCAAACAGGUCAAGCUGUGCACUCUAGACAGACUGCCGUGGACAACACGGAGGAAGGUGGGGAUGACGUCAAAUCAUCAUGCCCCUUAUGAUCUGGGCUACACACGUGCUACAAUGGCCGGUACAACGGGCAGCGAAGGAGCGAUCCGGAGCGAAUCCUAAAAAGCCGGUCCCAGUUCGGAUUGCAGGCUGAAACUCGCCUACAUGAAGUUGGAGUUGCUAGUAAUCGCGAAUCAGAAUGUCGCGGUGAAUGCGUUCCCGGGUCUU
rnacentral:rRNA from 1 species